rnacentral:rRNA from 1 species
GACGAACGCUGGCGGCGUGCUUAACACAUGCAAGUCGAACGGAAAGGCCCCUUUGGGGGUACUCGAGUGGCGAACGGGUGAGUAACACGUGAGUAACCUGCCCUUGACUUCGGGAUAACUUCAGGAAACUGGGGCUAAUACCGGAUAGGAAUCCUUGCUGCAUGGUGGGGGUUGGAAAGCUUCGGCGGUUUUGGAUGGACUCGCGGCUUAUCAGCUUGUUGGUGGGGUAGUGGCUUACCAAGGCUUUGACGGGUAGCCGGCCUGAGAGGGCGACCGGCCACAUUGGGACUGAGAUACGGCCCAGACUCCUACGGGAGGCAGCAGUGGGGAAUAUUGCACAAUGGGCGGAAGCCUGAUGCAGCAACGCCGCGUGCGGGAUGACGGCCUUCGGGUUGUAAACCGCUUUCAGCAGGGGCGAAGCUUGUGGUGACGGUACCUGCAGAAGAAGCACCGGCUAACGACGUG